rnacentral:rRNA from 1 species
AUCCUGGCUCAGGACGAACGCUGGCGGCGUGCCUAAUACAUGCAAGUCGAGCGCGGGAAGCAGACAGAUCUCCUUCGGGAGUGACGUUUGUGGAACGAGCGACGGAUGGGUGAGUAACACGUGGGCAACCUGCCUGUAAGACGGGGAUAACUCCGGGAAACCGGAGCUAAUACCGGAUGAUGUGUCAUAUCGCAUGAUAUGACGUUGAAAGAUGGCCUUGUGCUAUCACUUACAGAUGGGCCCGCGGCGCAUUAGCUAGUUGGUGAGGUAAGGGCUCACCAAGGCCACGAUGCGUAGCCGACCUGAGAGGGUGAUCGGCCACACUGGGACUGAGACACGGCCCAGACUCCUACGGGAGGCAGCAGUAGGGAAUCUUCCGCAAUGGACGCAAGUCUGACGGAGCAACGCCGCGUGAGUGAGGAAGGUUUUCGGAUCGUAAAGCUCUGUUGUUAGGGAAGAACAAGUAUCGUUCGAAUAGGGCGGUACCUUGACGGUACCUAACCAGAAAGCCACGGCUAACUACGUGCCAGCAGCCGCGGUAAUACGUAGGUGGCAAGCGUUAUCCGGAAUUAUUGGGCGUAAAGCGCGCGCAGGCGGUCCUUUAAGUCUGAUGUGAAAGCCCACGGCUCAACCGUGGAGGGUCAUUGGAAACUGGGGGACUUGAGUGCAGAAGAGGAGAGCGGAAUUCCACGUGUAGCGGUGAAAUGCGUAGAGAUGUGGAGGAACACCAGUGGCGAAGGCGGCUCUCUGGUCUGUAACUGACGCUGAGGCGCGAAAGCGUGGGGAGCGAACAGGAUUAGAUACCCUGGUAGUCCACGCCGUAAACGAUGAGUGCUAAGUGUUAGAGGGUUUCCGCCCUUUAGUGCUGAAGUCAACGCAUUAAGCACUCCGCCUGGGGAGUACGGUCGCAAGGCUAAAACUCAAAGGAAUUGA